rnacentral:sRNA from 1 species
UAGUAUUUUUGCCAGUAAGAACUCACA